GACGAACUGCCCAAACGUUGUUCGGAAUCACUGGGCUUAAAGGGCGCGUAGGCGGCAGAUCAAGUCAGGGGUGAAAUCCGGCAGCUCAACUGUCGAAGUGCCUUUGAUACUGAUUUGCUCGAGGGAUAUAGGGGUCUGUGGAACUUCUGGUGGAGCGGUGAAAUGUGUUGAUAUUGGAAGGAACGCCGGUGGCGAAAGCGACACACUGGACCUUGUCUGACGCUGAGGCACGAAAGCCAGGGGAGCAAACGGG
rnacentral:rRNA from 1 species